rnacentral:tRNA from 1 species
GGGGCUGUAGCUUAGUGGCAGAGCACUUACCUAGCACGUGUGAGGCCCUGGGUUCAAUCCUUAGCUCCA